GACGAACGCUGGCGGCGUGCUUAACACAUGCAAGUCGAGCGGUAAGGCCUCUUCGGGGGUACACGAGCGGCGAACGGGUGAGUAACACGUGGGUGACCUGCCCUCAGCUCUGGGAUAAGCCUGGGAAACUGGGUCUAAUACCGGAUAUGACCUUUCCUCGCAUGGGGUUUGGUGGAAAGUUUUUUCGGCUGGGGAUGGGCCCGCGGCCUAUCAGCUUGUUGGUGGGGUGAUGGCCUACCAAGGCGACGACGGGUAGCCGGCCUGAGAGGGCGACCGGCUACACUGGGACUGAGACACGGCCCAGACUCCUACGGGAGGCAGCAGGGGGGAAUAUUGCGCAAUGGGCGGAAGCCUGACGCAGCGACGCCGCGUGGGGGAUGACGGCCUUCGGGUUGUAAACCUCUUUCGACCCCGACGAAUUUGGACGGUAGGGGUAGAAGAAGCACCGGCCAACUACGUG
rnacentral:rRNA from 1 species